UUCCCAGUUCCCCCCCUCAGUUCCCUGUGCCCCGAGUUCUGCUGCCUGCCUGCUUCACACAGCAUGGCCACACAGAGAAAUCGUGCACACGUGGAGCCCAGUGCAAGACUCAAGGAAGGAAGCCAUGUGUGGUGGCCAUCCCAGGCAGGACUCAGAAGGUAGAGGCAGGAAGAGUCAAGGCCAUCCUUGGCUACUUGGUAAGUUCAAGGCCAGCCUGGGCUACAUGAGACCCCAUCUCCACAACAAACACCUAAGGAAGUAAGAGUGGAUUAUUAAGGGACAUAAAAGAUCCCUUGAGAAACUGUAUCUCUAAGCAAGAAGCUGGGACACCUGCAGCCAGUCAUACCCAAUCUGAGAGCCAAGACCAGCUGCAGACCAGCUGCAGUGGGCAGACACCCCUCAGGCCACAUUCCAACAUACUCAGAGGGCACAACCUACUGGUAUUGGGUAUUCUUUCUGUUUUUCCUUUAUCCUUUUUUUUUUUUUUUUUUUUUUUUUUAAAGAUUUAUUUAUUGAUUAUUGUAAGUACACUGUAGCUGUCUUCAGACACUCCAGAAGAGGGAGUCAGAUCUCAUUACGGAUGGUUGUGAGCCACCAUGUGGUUGCUGGGAUUUGAACUCUGGACCUUCGGAAGAGCAGUCGGGUGCUCUUACCCACUGAGCCAUCUCGCCAGCCCCUUUUUUUUUUUUUAAGACUAGUCUUUCAAAAGUUAUUUUAAGUGUUAUGAGUGUCUUGCCCAUGUGCCUGCCACUGGAUGCCAGAAGAGGGUGUCAGAUUCUCUGCAAGUGGGGUAAGAUGGUUAUAAGCCACCAGAUGGAUGCUGGGUACUGAACCUGUGUCUUCUGCAAGAACAGCACGUGGUCCUAACUGCUCAGCCAUCUCUCCAGCCCUGUCUUUUAUUCUUUUUAUGCUAGAAAUCUAUGGCCCAGGACUGCAGAGGAAAGGCGGAAGAGUGCUUCAACCCUGGAUACCUCAGAUGAGGAUAGCAGGAGUUAGUUACACACACACACACACACACACACACACACACACACACACACGCUUCCAACCUGACACCAUGAAGCCAGCUGUCCCACCAUCAACCCUAGUAGGAAUUUAGUACUUUUGUUUGACCCUAUAAGGCUCCCUCCUCCCCUGAGUCUUCCAACACUCCUUCCCUGGCCAAUGAUAAUUGGCAGUCACACCAACCUUGUCCCAGUAACCCUGGCACCUCCCGGGGGCAUAAAUACCCCUCUCCCCACACCAAUAAACCCAAAGCUGUUCCUGUGUUGUGUGUGUGUCCCUUGCCCUUGAACUCACCACUGACCCAAAAAUUCUACCUGCACUCACUCGCCCCAGCUAAUCUCUCCCUCCAGUCCAGGCGGGUGAGUGAGGGGCCUGACACUCCCAGAGUGGGAGAAGCAGAUAUGGGACGGGACGGCAGAGAUCCAAUUAGCACCUUACAAAGGCCACACACAAGCUCUACCGUUGAGUGGCACACCUGGCUGCCUUACACAUCCCUUCUCUUUUUUCUGCAUCUUUCAUUUAUUCUUUGACAACUGCGUCUGUGUAUACAACACAUUUUGAUCUUAUCCACUUCGACUCUUCCCUCCUGAUGUCCCUCAACAUGUCCCCCUCCCGCUCUUGUGACUUCGUCUUUGGCAACCCACCGAGUUUACCUAGUAUUGCUGGCUGGAACAUUAGCUGGCCUUCUUGGCUUGGUUGUCUAGGCUUUGUGCAGUCACGGGAGCUGUCCAUACAUGCGAUUCUCUGUACUAUGCAGAAGACAGUAUUUCCCAGGACUCCCAUUCUGCAGAUCUUGUGUUCUUUUUGGUCCCUCUUCCCUAUUUCCUGACCUUGGCUGCUGAUACAGACGUCCUACUUAGGGCCAGGCUCUCAACAGUCACCUAUUCCCAGUGCUUUGACAGUUGCGAGCCUGUCUGUAUUGCUGCCCACAGCAGAAAGAGUCUGGCUAAGGCUGAAAGCAGCAGUAACCUGUGAUAGAGGCAUAAAGUUCAGCAAGUCCAUCUAGCGGGACAGCAGUAGGCUCUCCCCGGGUCCUGUGACCUCCUAAGCCACAGGAUUCUGACAGGGUUACAGUCCCAGGGAUGACUUUUCUCGUGGGGAGCACACCUCAGAUCCAAUCAGAGAAGGAUUGGUUGCCCCUGGAACCUUCACACAACUGUUGCACCAGAGGACACUUGUUGCCUGAAGUUGGUUAUUGGAGCACAAAAGGGACCAGCCACCAUGCUGGCUUACUGUGCUGGGUAAGCCACCAAUGGCUUGCGGCGGCCAGCCAAGGACAUCGGAUCCCAUAGAACUGGAGUUACAGUUAUGAGGCAUCAAGUGGGUGUUGGGAAUUGAACCCAGUCCUCUGAAAGAGCAGCCAGUGUUCUUAACUACUGAGCCAGAGUGGAUGCCUGAGUGUCAUUAUUCUCACAAAUUCAAGUUGUAUAUAAUCACACAGACAAGCCCCACGUGGCCCAAAGGUCUCCCAUGGAGGCAUAUACACCAAUAGCCCCGGCCAUCUUAGUGAAUAAUCUGAAGUAAACUCACUCCCGUUCUCUACACCUGGGAGGGGCAGCUAGCGCAGCCCAAGACCAACGCUAUGGUUUUGAAGAAGCCGAGAUCACAAGACUCUUGCUUUCUCACAAGCGCUCAGAAUUGCCAUCAUGUGACUCCAUUCUUGGCCAGUGUUCUGACACUUGCCUCCGUCUCCGGAGGGUUUAUGUAGAACAGCGAAAACCAAAUACUCUGUGGGUCCCUUAGUUUUGUCUGGAUGCUUCUGUAUUGCUCAGCGUGUUUAAUUGCAAUCGACUAGAAUUACCAGGCGUGUCUAGUUCCAGGACAGCUAGGCUUUCUUGAAUUUUCCAUGUGGCCCACACAGGACGUUCAUAUACAUUUCUUCUAAGAUUAGCAGGCAAAAUGUCUCCAGUUGAAGCCAGUUCUCAGUGAGGGGAAGCAUUGAAACUUCUCAGCUAUGCCAAACUUGUGUUCAAGGUAAAGGUCAGAGAGUAGAUUGUAUUGUCAGACCUGGAUGGUUUGAUCUUGUUUGGUGGUUUCUUUGUAUUUGAGAAAGGGUCCUGCCCGUAAUUCAGGCGGUAGGGCAGGGGGAACUCAUUAUGUAGACUAGGCUGGUCUUGAACUCAGAGAGCUAUUCCUGACUAUGGUUCCUGAGUGCUGGGAUUAAUAACACACCCCCAUCAGACUUCAAUUGAAAAUCCAAUUCCUGAGGCUGGUGAAUUGGCUCAACAGGUAAAGGCACUUGCUGCUGAGUCUGACAGCCUGGACCCACAUUUUGGAAGAAGUGAACAGUCCCCUAGAAGCUGUCCUCUAACCACACGUGUGCACAUGCACACAAACACACACGGUAACAUAAAUUAAAAAUAAAUAGAAUGCGUUUCUGCACGGUGUGUUAUUCUGCACGGUGUGGUAGCAGGCCUGCAAUCCCAGCAACUGGGAGGCUGAGGCAGGAGCAUGUAUCAUCAUGAGUUUUAGGUUAACUUGUGCUACAUAGUAGAUGCUGUCUUAAAACAAACCACCAAAAUGGCACAUGCCUGUGGUCCCAGUACUGGGGAAGUAGAAACAGGAAGGGCAGGGGUUCCCAGUCAUCUCCAGUUACUUAGUUAAGAUCCUGUGUGAAACCAACAAAACAACUAAACAAAAAACAGAAAAUAUAAAUAAGGGCUGGAGACUGGCUCAGUGGCUCUUGCAGAGGACCUGCCUUCAUUCUCUGCAGCCACACGGUGGCUUACAACCAUCUGUAGGUAACUCCAGUCCCAAGAGGUACAGCAUCCUCUUCUGGCCUCCUUGGGUACCUGGGAACAUGUGGCAUGUGCACACACACACAAAGAAAAAAAAAUAUUUUUUUUAUUUUCUUUUUUUUGUUUUUUCGUGACAAGGUUUCUCUGUGUAGCCCUGGCUGUCUUGGAGCUCACUCUGUAGACCAGGCUGGCCUCGAACUCACAGACCCACCCACUUCUACCUCCAGAGUGUGCCACCAUACCCUGCUGGGGUUGUUUUUAAUCUGGAAUCUACAGAAAGUGUUUGGGGCUGGAGAGAUGGCUCAGCAUUAAGAGCACAUGUUACAGGGGCUGGAGAGAUGGCUCAGUGGUUAUAAAGCACUGACUGCUCUUCCAGGGGUCCUGAAUUCAAUUCCCAGCAACCACAUGGUGGCUCACAACCAUCUGUAAUGGGAUCUGAUGCCCUCUUCUGAUGGGUCUGAAGACAGGGACAGUGUACUCAUAUAAAUAAAAUAAAUAUUAAAGAAAAAAAGCACAGGGCACUCUAGUGCAGGACUUGGCUUUGCUUCCUAGCACCCGCAUCAGGCAACCUACAGGUGCCUGUAACUGCCGCUUCAGGACCCAAUGUCUUCCUACUUCCAAUUGUGCUUCAUUAUGCUCAAACCCUCACACAAGGCACACGUAUUCACAAUUAAAACAAAACAAACCUCAAAGAAAAAAAAAAAAAAAGAAACC